ACAGACAAUGACUUUAAUAUUCUCACUUUAGAAAAUUCUUUCAAAGUAUUUGUGUUUUUAUGUUUUUAACCUAGAAAUGAUAACAUCCUUCAUAGGCAGGGCUUCAUCUCAUCCCCCUCACUCCUGGCUACACUCCGCAUCACUUUUCUGUCAACACUGGAAUUAAUUAAAUAUGAAUGAGUUAUUCCUCAGAAAACUAGCUAAAUCUAAAUAUCACUUUGUGAUUUCCCCUUUGAUAAGUAGUGUAACUGCAGAACAUUAUAU
rnacentral:lncRNA from 1 species